AUUGAACGCUAGCGGGAUGCUUUACACAUGCAAGUCGAACGGCAGCGCGGUCUUCGGUUUGGCGGCGAGUGGCGAACGGGGGUGUAUUGUAUCGGAACGUGCUCAGCAGCGGUGGAUGACUACGUGAGAGCGUAGCUAAUACUGCAUACGCCCUACGGGGGAAAGCUGGGGAUCGUUGGACCUUGUACUAUUGGGGCGGCGGAUAUCGGAGUAGCUAGUUGGUGAGGUAACGGCUGACCAAGGCGGCGAUCCGUGGCUGGUGUGAGUGGACGAGCAGCCACACUGGGACUGAGACACCGCCCAGACUCCUACGGGACGCAGCAGUGGGGAAUUUUGGACAAUAGGGGCAACCCUGACCCAACCAUCCCGCGUGUGAGAUGAAGGCCUUCGGGUUGUAAAGCACUUUUGGCAGGAAAAAAACGUCGCGGGCUAAUACCCCGUGGAACUGACGGUACCUGCAGAAUAAGCACCGGCUAACUACGUG
rnacentral:rRNA from 1 species